rnacentral:tRNA from 1 species
UGUUCUGUGGCGGAGUUGGUUAACGCGCCCUGUCUAGCGAACUUGGGGAGACGUGGGUUUAAAUUCCACCAGAACUA